ensembl:misc_RNA Metazoa_SRP Metazoan signal recognition particle RNA
GCCGGGCGCGGUGGCGCGCGCCUGUAGUCCUAGCUACUCGGGAGGCUGAGGCAGGAGGAUCGCUUGAGUCCAGGAGUUCUGGGCUGCAGUGCGCUAUGCCGAUCGGGUGUCCGCACUAAGUUCGGCAUCAAUAUGGUGACCUCCCGGGAGCGGGGGACCACCAGGUUGCCUAAGGAGGGGUGAACCGGCCCAGGUCGGAAACGGAGCAGGUCAAAACUCCCGUGCUGAUCAGUAGUGGGAUCGCGCCUGUGAAUAGCCACUGUACUCCAGCCUGGGCAACACAGUGAGACCCCGUCUCUU